GUGAAGAAGGCCUGAGGGUUGUAAAGCACUUUCGGUAGGGAGGAGGAUUGAUUGGUUAAGAGCUGAUUGAUUGGACGUUACCUACAUAAGAAGCACCGGCUAACUCCGUGCCAGCAGCCGCGGUAAUACGGAGGGUGCGAGCGUUAAUCGGAAUUACUGGGCGUAAAGCGUGCGUAGGUGGUUAUAUAAGUUAUCUGUGAAAUCCCUGGGCUCAACCUGGGCAGGUCAGAUAAUACUGUGUGACUCGAGUAUGGGAGAGGGUAGUGGAAUUUCCGGUGUAGCGGUGAAAUGCGUAGAGAUCGGAAGGAACACCAGUGGCGAAGGCGGCUACCUGGCCUAAUACUGACACUGAGGCACGAAAGCGUGGGGAGCAAACAGGAUUAGAUACCCUGGUAGUCCACGCUGUAAACGAUGUCAACUAGCUGUUGGUUAUAUGAAUAUAAUUAGUGGCGCAGCAAACGCGAUAAGUUGACCGCCUGGGGAGUACGGUCGCAAGAUUA
rnacentral:rRNA from 1 species